GGCUGGACCAAUAGCAGCGGGUUAUCAGAAUUUACUGACAUUAGUGUCACUAAAGUUGGUAUGCAACACCCCACUGCUAAAUUUGAGUGGCUUUAA
rnacentral:Y_RNA from 1 species